GAUGAACGCUAGCUACAGGCUUAACACAUGCAAGUCGAGGGGCAGCAUGAUUGAAGCUUGCUUCAAUCGAUGGCGACCGGCGCACGGGUGAGUAACACGUAUCCAACCUGCCGAUAACUCGGGGAUAGCCUUUCGAAAGAAAGAUUAAUACCCGAUAGUAUAGUAUUUCCGCAUGGUUUCACUAUUAAAGAACUUCGGUUAUCGAUGGGGAUGCGUUCCAUUAGAUAGUUGGCGGGGUAACGGCCCACCAAGUCAACGAUGGAUAGGGGUUCUGAGAGGAAGGUCCCCCACAUUGGAACUGAGACACGGUCCAAACUCCUACGGGAGGCAGCAGUGAGGAAUAUUGGUCAAUGGACGAGAGUCUGAACCAGCCAAGUAGCGUGAAGGAUGACUGCCCUAUGGGUUGUAAACUUCUUUUAUACGGGAAUAAAGUGGAGUAUGCAGACUCCUUUGUAUGUACCGUAGGAAUAAGGAUCGGCUAACUCCGU
rnacentral:rRNA from 1 species